AUGGAUGAGGUCACAAGGGAUAUACAAGGAGAUAUCCCAUGGUGUAUGCUCUUUGCGGAUGAUGUGGUGCUAGUUGACGAUAGUCGGGCGGGGGUAAAUAGGAAGUUAGAGUUAUGGAGACAAACCUUGGAAUCGAAAGGGUUUAGGCUUAGUAGGACUAAAACCGAGUACAUGAUGUGCGGUUUCAGUACUACUAGGUGUGAGGAGGAGGAGGUUAGCCUUGAUGGUCAGGUGGUACCUCGGAAGGACACCUUUCGGUAUUUGGGGACAAUGCUGCAGGAGGAUGGGGGUAUUGAUGAAGAUGUGAACCAUCGGAUCAAAGCCGGAUGGAUGAAGUGGCGCCAAGCUUCUGGCAUUCUCUGUGACAAGAGAGUGCCACAAAAGCUAAAAGGCAAGUUCUACAGGACGGCGGUUCGACCCGCAAUGUUGUAUGGCGCUGAGUGUUGGCCGACUAAAAGGCGACAUGUUCAACAUUUAGGUGUGGCGGAGAUGCGUAUGUUGAGAUGGAUGUGUGGCCAUACGAGGAAGGAUCGAGUCCGGAAUGAUGAUAUACGAGAUAGAGUUGGGGUAGCACCAAUUGAAGAGAAGCUUGUCCAACAUCGUCUGAGAUGGUUUGGGCAUAUCCAGCGCAGGCCUCCAGAAGCUCCAGUGCAUAGCGGAUGGCUAAAGCGUGCGGAGAAUGUCAAGAGAGGGCGGGGUAGACCGAAUUUUACAUGGGAGGAGUCCGUUAAGAGAGACCUGAAGGAUUGGGGUAUCACCGAAGAGCUAGCUAUGGACAGGGGUGCAUGGAAGCUUGCUAUCCAUGUGCCAGAGCCAUGA
rnacentral:rRNA from 1 species